UAUGGCCAUAUCACAUGGAAACACUGGCUACCAUCCGAUCAUCGAAGUUAAGCAACGUUAAGCCUGGUCAGUACCUAGAUGAGUGACCGCUGGGGAAUACCAGAUACUGUAAG